GAAGUAGCCUGGGCAGUUCCGGGAAGGAUUCUCUUUGCAGAUGAAAAGAGGCCAACUGGAGGAAAUGCUCAUCUCUUAAUUCAAGUGUUGCAAUUACUGGCAGUGCUGCAACUCCAGCUGCCACCCCUGCAACUUAGAAAUAAGCCCAAGGAUCAAGCAAAGACCCUGAGGAGAAUGGAGUAGAAAACUGGGAAGAACUCAUGAUUCUGAUGCCAUCACUGCAUUGCUGAAUUAACCUUGGAACCAUCAUGUGCGACACUAUUGUUUAAGGCCUCUCCACUCUCAGGAAGCAGACGUAAACAAAAGAUAACACCAUCUGACUGGAUAGAAAAUUUCUCUAGUAUGUGCCUGCAAGGUUAUUCUUCAAGAACUAACUUCCUGAGACUACAUGAGCAUUAAAACUAAUGCUCUGAACACACAUAAGGCACUAACGAUGGCAGCUCCUCUUGCCCCCUUCAUCCUCUACAAGUGAUCCAGUCCAAAAAGCACAGAGAUGAAUCACCAAGAAUGGAGAAAAACCCUCCCUUUUCCUAUUUCCAACGAAGAAUCCUCUUUCUGCCACAGCAAACCUGAGGAAAGCACAAAGCCUAACAAACACUCCAGGAAAGGCCGAAGUGGGAAAGGGUACGGGUCCGAGAAAGAACACCUUAUCAGCUUGAUAUGAAAAAGUAAGAUGCUCCAUCUCCCUGCUCCUACAGGGGAAAAGUCCCAAACACUGAGUGGGUGCGGUGACUCACGUCUGUAAUCCCAGUGCUUUGGGAGGCUGAGGCAGGCAGAUCACGAGGUCAAGAGAUCGAGACCAUCCUGGCCAACAUGGUAAAACCCUGUCUCUACUAAAAAUACAAAAAUUAGCUGGGUGUGGUGGCGCACACCUGUAGUCCCAGCUACCUGGGAGGCCAAAGCAGGAGAACUGCUUAAAUCCAGUAGGUGGAGGUUGCUGUGGGCCGAGAUCUUGCCACCAUGCUCCAGCCUGGCAACAGGGCGAGACUCUGUCUCAAAAGAAGGGCUGGGCAUGGUGGCUCAUGCCUAUAAUCCCAACAGUUUGGGAGGCUGAGGUGGGUGGAUCACAAGGUCAGGAGUUCAAGACCAGCUUGGCCAACAUGGUGAAACCCCAUCUCUACUAAAAAUACAAAAAUUAGCUGGCCGUGGUAGUGCAUGCCUGUAAUCCCAGCUACUCUGAAGGCUGAGGCAGGAGAAUCACUUGAACCAGGACCCAGGAGACAGAGGCUGCAAUGAGCUGAGAUCACGCCACUGCACUCCAGCCUGGCAGACUCCAGCGAGACUCCAUCUCAAAAAAGAAAAAAAAACAGAAGAGUCCUACAAAUUAACAAAAAUGUAUAUCCACAUAACCAACACAAAGCAACACCUGCAGAAAAGUGCAAUACAAUGAAAGGUUCUCCGAGCACGUGCGAUGAUGUCCUCAUUCUUCAGGACACCACACUGUAGUACUUAGGCAGCAAAGGGACAUGCUGCUGCUGAAAUACUCUAAAAUAGGUCAGGGGAAGCUGUGUGUAUGUAAGUGUGCCUAUAUAAAUGUGUAUGAGGAUGAAUGUGUUAGGCAUAAAAGCGAGUGGGUGCGUAUUUAUAUACACAGAGAGAAUUAGACAGAAAAUGGGACAAAAUGCGAACAACUGGUGAACUUGGGUAAUGUGGAUAUGAUUGAAUCACGUGCGCAGCUACAUCGAAUUACCUGAGACUAGGUAAUUGGUACAGAACAGAAAUUUAUUUUCUCACAGUUCCAGAGGCUGGGAAGUCCAAGAUCAAGGCACCAGCAGGUUCAGUUGUCUGGGGAGCACUGCUCUCUGCCUCCAGGAUGGCACCUUGAUGUGGCAUCCUCCAAGAAGAACAGCGCUGUGUCCUCACCUGGCAGAAGGAGGAAGGGCAAGAGCGCCGAAUGCUGCAUGAAUUCUCCUUUGUAAGAGCCUUUUCAUGCCAUUCACAGCGGAGGAGCCUUCAUGGCCUGAUCACCUCUUAAAGGCCCACCUCCCAAUACAUCACAUUGCCAGCACCUGAGUUUUGGAGGGUUGAAACCACAGCAAUACAUUCAUGCACUGCACAAUGACAUUUCAGUCUGUGGCAGUGGUACGAUCCAUAUACAACAGUGGUCUUAUAAGAUUACAAUGGAGGCCAGGCGUGGUGGCUCAAGCCUGUAAUCCCAGCACUUUAGGAGGCCGAGGUGGAUGAAUCACCUAGGGUCAGGAGUUCAACACCAGCCCGACCAACAUGAAGAAACCCUGUCUCUACUAAAAAUACAAACUUAGCCGGGCAUGGUGGUGCAUGCCUGUAAUCCCAGCUACUUGGAAAGCAGAGGCAGGAGAAUCACUUGAACCCGGGAGGUUGUGGUGAGCCAAGAUCGCGCCACUGCACUCCAGCCUGGGCGACAGAACAAAGCUCCAUCUCAAAGAAAAAAAAACAAGAUUACAAUGGAGCCCUCACUGCCCCUGAAGACCUUCCCAAAGGACAAGAUGUGGAGGUAGAAGACAGUGACACUGCUGGCCUGGCACCUUUGUGGGCCUAGGCCAAGGAGUAUGUCCGUAUCUUGGUUUUUAACUAAAAGUUUAAAAAGUUUAAAAAAAUUUUAAUGUUUUAAAAUAGAAAAAGGUAUACAGAAAAAGGAUAUAAAGAAGGAUAAUACUGACGGGACACGGUGGUUCAUGCCUGUAAUCCCAGCACUUUGGGAGGUCAAGGUGGGUGGAUCACUCGAGGUCAAGAGGUCAAGACCAGCCUGACCAACAUGGUGAAACCCCAUCUCUACUAAAAAUACAAAAAUUAGCCAAGUGUGGUGGCAUACACCUGUAGUUCCAGCUACUCAGAGGGCUGAGAAUGGCUUGAACCCAGGAGACAAAGGUUUAAGUGAGCCAAGAUCGGGCCACUGCAAUCCAGCCUGGGAGACAGCAAAACUCCAUCUCAAAAGAAAUAAAGGGAGAAUAUCUUUUAUACAGCUGUACAUUGUGCUUAUGUUUUAAACAGGGUUACUAGAGAGUCAAGUUUAUUACAAAUCAAAAUCUACGAAGUUAUAAAGCUACCUUUCUUUUGAGCCACUGUAGCCAGCUGAAAGUUGUUUAUAUUAGUAUUGCUACUUUUCUGUAAGUCUGAAAUAAUAUCGAAGCAAAGUUACAAGAGUAAGGAGGUUAUAUACUGCUAAGAUCUUCAAAAUAUGCAAAGUAAAAAAAUGCAGAAUGAGAUGUGGGAAGAUUACCAUUCAUUUCAGAAGUGGAAAGGAAAAGGUACUGAUAUGUACUUAAUUGGAUAUAACAUGUCCAUAAUGGCAGAUAAGAAACUGGUACUAUUAGUUACCUCUUUGUAGAGGGGAGCAGGGUAGUUGGGGAUGGAGUAGAAUGGAGAGUUUUCACUAUUUUUAUAUAUUUUGAAUUUUGAACCAUGUGAACAUAUUGUGUAUUCAAAACAUAAAUAACGGCAAUAAAAUUGCUUUGAAAAUUUAGCAAGGUGUGGUGGCUCACACCUAUAAUCACUCUGGGAGGCCGGGGCAGGCAGAUCACGAGGUCAAGAGAUAGAGACCAUCCUGACCAACAUGGUGAAAUCCCGUCUCUACUAAAAUCACAAAAAUUAGCCGGGCAUGGUGGUGUGACCCUGUAGUCCCAGCUACUUGGGAGGCUGAGGCAGGAGAAUUACUUGAGCCCAGGAGGCAGAGGCUGCAGUGAGCCAAGAUCACGCCACUACACUCCAGCCUGGCAACAGAGCAAGACUCCGUCUUCAAAAAAAAAUUGAAGGAAAAGAAAUAUAUUCAAGGAAAAUAAUACAACAGUGCAAGCAGACGCACUAUUCACAGUUGGACUACGUGGUGUGGAGUGGCGUAGGCCAGAGACAGGUAAGAAAUCAGCUAACAGAUACUCGGCAGGGUGCUGCCCAGAUGUGACCCCACGAGCCACUGUGCUUGGAAAGCUGCCUAUUUAAAAAGGGCUCAUUCCAGGCAAGUAAAGCUGGGGGCUUGGAAAAACAUGUUCUAUCAAGUUUCAGCCUAAAUUGGACAGAACUGUCCCAUAAAAUAAAUUAUGUGAUUGACUUACAAGCCACAAUUCCCCCUCGCCCUCUUCCCCCAAGCUGAUUUUGCUGGUUCGGUAAUUGAAUCACAUGACACACUGUCACAACCUGCUAAGCCCUAAGGAGGCUAUUCCGUUCCUCCGAAGGACAAACCCAAACAUAAACAGCUUCCAGCACUCUUCAGGAGCAGCCUCCCUCCUUGGAGGUAACAGCCAACAAGCCAUUUAUCUGGUGGUGUGUCACGGAAGGAAAGAGUCUUGAAUCUAUGCAAGAGCUUUCCAAGAUGAUCACAGAUGAUUCCAGCAGCGAGCAAUUCUGAAUGGACACAUGAGCCUUCUCACCAGCCUAGACUUGCCAUGUUAAACUUUAUGGGACUUGAGCAAGCUCUCAGACAACCAUAGAAAGACAGGAAGAUACUACUGUCUGCAGAAGCCGGAUUGAGAAGCUGGUGAGCGAAUGCUGGUUGUCAGAACACCAGGGGAGGGACCCCACAGCACCCCACUCUCCCUUGAGGAAACCCACAGUUGCUCUCCGAGCCAAGAUCCCAGCUCCAUGACUCAGCCUCCAGUAUUUUGGGGGAGGAUUUGGUUGGGCACACCUGUGUAUGUUUGUACCACAUGAACUGUAGAGCCUGAAAUGUGAUUGAUAUUUGUAUUGGAAAAAGGAUGUGGGACUAGGGAGAAGUCAAGACAUGGGAUGAGAAAAGAGGGUCUCGGCUGGGCGUGGUGGCUCAUGCCUAUAAUCCCAGCACUUUGGGAGGCUGAGGUGGAUCACCUGAGGUCAGGAGUUCGAGAACAGCCUGGCCAACAUGGUGAAACCCCGUCUCUACUAAAAAUAAAAAAUUAGUUGGGUGUGGUGGUGUGCACCUGUGACACCAGCUACUUGGGAGUCUGAGAGAGGAGAAUGGCUUGAACCCAGGAGGCAGAGGUUGCAGUGAGCUGAGAUUAUGCCAUUGCACUCCAGCCUGGGCUACAGAGCAAGAAUCCAUCUCAAAAAAAGAAAAAAGAAAUAAACAAAAGAAAAGAGGGUCUUUUUCCCUCAGAACUGUAAG